rnacentral:rRNA from 1 species
GACGAACGCUGGCGGCGUGCCUAAUACAUGCAAGUAGAACGCUGAAGGAGGAGCUUGCUUCUCUGGAUGAGUUGCGAACGGGUGAGUAACGCGUAGGUAACCUGCCUGUUAGCGGGGGAUAACUAUUGGAAACGAUAGCUAAUACCGCAUAAUAGCAGUUGUUGCAUGACAACUGUUUGAAAGGUGCAAUUGCACCACUACCAGAUGGACCUGCGUUGUAUUAGCUAGUUGGUGGGGUAACGGCUCACCAAGGCGAGGAUACAUAGCCGACCUGAGAGGGUGAUCGGCCACACUGGGACUGAGACACGGCCCAGCCUCCUACGGGAGGCAGCAGUAGGGAAUCUUCGGCAAUGGACGGAAGUCUGACCGAGCAACGCCGCGUGAGUGAAGAAGGUUUUCGGAUCGUAAAGCUCUGUUGUAAGAGAAGAACGAGUGUGAGAGUGGAAAGUUCACACUGUGACGGUAUCUUACCAGAAAGGGACGGCUAACUACGUG